rnacentral:rRNA from 1 species
GAACCACUUCGGUGGGGAUUAGUGGCGAACGGGUGAGUAACACGUGGGCAAUCUGCCCUGCACUCUGGGACAAGCCCUGGAAACGGGGUCUAAUACCGGAUACGAGUUUCACAGGCAUCUGUGAUUCUGGAAAGCUCCGGCGGUGCAGGAUGAGCCCGCGGCCUAUCAGCUUGUUGGUGAGGUAACGGCUCACCAAGGCGACGACGGGUAGCCGGCCUGAGAGGGCGACCGGCCACACUGGGACUGAGACACGGCCCAGACUCCUACGGGAGGCAGCAGUGGGGAAUAUUGCACAAUGGGCGCAAGCCUGAUGCAGCGACGCCGCGUGAGGGAUGACGGCCUUCGGGUUGUAAACCUCUUUCAGCAGGGAAGAAGCGAGAGUGACGGUACCUGCAGAAGAAGCGCCGGCUAACUACGUGCCAGCAGCCGCGGUAAUACGUAGGGCGCAAGCGUUGUCCGGAAUUAUUGGGCGUAAAGAGCUCGUAGGCGGCUUGUCGCGUCGGAUGUGAAAGCCCGGGGCUUAACCCCGGGUCUGCAUUCGAUACGGGCAGGCUAGAGUUCGGUAGGGGAGAUCGGAAUUCCUGGUGUAGCGGUGAAAUGCGCAGAUAUCAGGAGGAACACCGGUGGCGAAGGCGGAUCUCUGGGCCGAUACUGACGCUGAGGAGCGAAAGCGUGGGGAGCGAACAGGAUUAGAUACCCUGGUAGUCCACGCCGUAAACGGUGGGCACUAGGUGU